AGUUAGCAGAGACAGCAGCGCCACAGUGUGCCCCCAGGUGUGGCUGGAUGCUGUCCGCACAGCUGCAGAAGCUGUGGUGAUGCUGGGGACAAGGUACCCAGAGUUUCUCCUCCCCUUCUUUGCUCUGCUUUAUUGAAAUGCAAGGUGUGCACCGGUGCUAAACCCUGGCUGGUGUAGCAAGGGAACACAUGUCCACCUGUUCUUCUUUGGAAGAUGUUCACGAAAUUACCUGUUGCCGUCCUCAGUGUCUAGCCUUCCGUCUGCCACAGAACUGCCGGCGCUGGCCACUCUUCUCUUGCAUGAGAAGCGGCAGCUUGGCCCCAGCUUGUGUUUCUAAGCUGUUAAGGCACAGUGUCCCAUACUUACACGAGUGUGGGGGUCGUGCAAACAGGACCAGGAGGAAGACCUGGAAAGAGGCCAUUUAUAUUGUGAACCAGAGCUUAACAGAUCCAGGGAGGGCAGAUGGCCAUUCACCAGAUAACUUGGAAAAGUGGCUACUUUGCAGGAAAGAUUACAUUCCUGCCUCAUACCAUACACACAGAUGAAUUCCAGAUAUAUUUAUUAAAAACUUAAAUGUGAAGAAGUAAGGAGUUCUAAAUUUCUAUAGAGGAAAGAGUAUGUUCUGCUGUUGACAUGUGGGAAUCCUCCUUCAAAAAGAGACUUUAUGGCAAAAUGAUGUAUGGAUGUGAGAGCUGGACCGGAAGGAAGGCUCAGUUCAGUUCAGUCACUCAGUCGUGUCUGACUCGAAACUCCAGUACUUUGGCCACCUCAUGUGAAGAAAGAAGGCUAAGUGAUGAAAAAUUAAUGCUUCUGAACUGUGGUGUUGAAGACUCUUGAAAGUCCCUUGGACAGCAAAGAGAUCAAACCAGUCAAUCCUAAAGGAAAUCAACACUGAAUAUUCUUUGGAAGAACUGUUGCUGAAGCUGAAGCUCCAGUAUUUUGGCCACCUGAUGCAAACAGCAUCAGGAAAAGGCCAAAACUCAUUGGAAAAGACCCUGCUGCUGGGAAAGAUUGAGGGCAGGAGGAGAAGGGCAGAGGAUGAGAUGCUUGGAUGGCAUCACCGACUCAAUGGAUAGGAAUUUGACCAAACUCUAGGAGACGGUGAAGGACAGGGAAACGUGGUGUGCUGCAGCCCGUGGGGUUGCGGAGUCGGACACGACUGAGCGCCUAAACAGCAACUACUACAGCUCCUCUAGGAGAGACCUGGAAUUGUCUUCAAAGCUGGCAGUUUACUUCCAGUUCAGCUCCCAGCCCUCCAGCCUGGAGAAGCUCUCACACAUUGUACUAGGAUUGCUGCACGUGACAACACGGUUUGAAAAGAAUCAGAACAAAGUUCAACACCCAAACUGCAGAUACAGACAGGGCUGACCCCGUCUUUCACACUGGGACUCUCCGUGUCAGUGAAAAGCGUUAACACGGCGGCUCCAAGGCCCUGCAGGUGAAGACUGUGCGUCUCACCCCCUGGGCAGACCCAGGCCUCCCAGAGCCCUGCUCCAGGCAGCAGCGGCCCGCCUGUGCCCCUGUCCUCACUGACCGGCCUGAGCUCGCCAGGGGCCGGACUAGGGGACCGCUCCGCCUGCAGAGGAUGCAGCCCUGGGCCUGGCGCUCUGCAUCCUCAGGAGCUGUCUCAGUGAGGUUUUCUGACCCACAGCUAAAGUUUAUUGUCUUGGCUUCGCUUUAAUUCAUUAUUUUCUGCUUUUUUUUUUUUUUUUACGACUCAGUAAAAUUCAGAGGCAGUAUGUUCUCUGUGAAGCUCUCGUGCCAUUGGGUGUGACGUGCUUGCAAAGAAGCCCAAGUGUGUCCUAUGGCUGGAUUCGGCCCGUCUGCAGGGGCGCCUAGGAGCUAAAACCAGCCCGUUAUGCGUGGGUCAUGAAACACAGUCUGGUGCCAGCCGGGCGGGAGGGCAGGGGUCUUCGUACAGCCCCCUCCUGAGCACCCAUGGCUCUUCUGUGUGUGCAGGCAGCAAUGUGUGGAGGCGUGAACACCACGCUGCCUCCAGUCUGUCCAGUGGAGCCUCCCACCCAGCGGCCGCGGUGCUUACCAGGCCCUCUGGGUGCUUUCAGAGACCCCCCAUGCUGGGGAGCGCCCAUUUUAAUGGGGUCUCUGUGGAGCAGUUGAUCUCUGGGGGCACCGGGAACCCCAGCACUGAUGCACUUCCCAAACCUCUUUGGAGAGAAUUCCCUGGAGUUCUUAAAAUACAGAUUCCUGGGCCCAGUCUGGACUGGUUAACCAGGAGCCUGGGCGGGGCAGAGCCUAGGGGUCAGGUGAGAGGAGCCGGGGCUGG
ensembl:lincRNA